GCCCUGGGCUUGUGCUUGGGGAGUGAAUGAUGAGUUCUGACCCCCAUGCACCCCUGCGGGCCCCUGGCAUCACUGGCCCCAUCCUUCACCCCUGCCAACCACACUUGCCCUGUGCCU
ensembl:miRNA